GACGAACGCUGGCGGCGUGCUUAACACAUGCAAGUCGAACGGAAAGGCCCUGCUUUUGUUGGGUGCUCGAGUGGCGAACGGGUGAGUAACACGUGAGUAACCUGCCCUUGACUUUGUGAUAACUUCAGGAAACUCGGGCUAAUACCGGAUAUGAUCUCCUGCUGCAUAUUGGGGGUUGGAAAGUUUCGGCGGUUGGGGAUCGACUCGCGGCUUAUCAGCUUGUUGGUGUGGUAGUGGCUUACCAAGGCUGUGACGGGUAGCCGGCCUGGGAGGGUGACCGGCGACCUUGGGACUGAGAUACGGACCAGACUGCUACGGGAGGCAGCAGUGGGGAAUAUUGCACAAUGGGCGGAAGUCUGAUGCAGCAACGUCGGGUGCGGGAUGACGGCCUUUGGGUUGUAAACCGAUUUCGAAUGUGACGAAGCGUGCGUGACGGUAAUGGGUCAAGAAGCAACGGCUAACUACGUG
rnacentral:rRNA from 1 species